GACGAACGCUGGCGGCGUGCUUAACACAUGCAAGUCGAACGGAAAGGCCCUGCUUUUGUGGGGUGCUCGAGUGGCGAACGGGUGAGUAACACGUGAGUAACCUGCCCUUGACUUUGGGAUAACUUCAGGAAACUGGGGCUAAUACCGGAUAGGAGCUCCUGCUGCAUGGUGGGGGUUGGAAAGUUUCGGCGGUUGGGGAUGGACUCGCGGCUUAUCAGCUUGUUGGUGGGGUAGUGGCUUACCAAGGCUUUGACGGGUAGCCGGCCUGAGAGGGUGACCGGCCAAAUUGGGACUGAGAUACGGCCCAGACUCCUACGGGGGGCAGCAGUGGGGAAUAUUGCAACAUGGGCGGAAGCCUGAUGCAGCAACGCCGCGUGCGGGAUGACGGCCUUCGGGUUGUAAACCGCUUUCGCCUGUGGCGAAGCGUGAGUGGCGGUAAUGGGUAAAGAAGCACCGGCUAACUACGUG
rnacentral:rRNA from 1 species